UUUAUGGAGAGUUUGAUCCUGGCUCAGGAUGAACGCUGGCGGCGUGCCUAAUACAUGCAAGUCGAGCGAACGGACGAGAAGCUUGCUUCUCUGAUGUUAGCGGCGGACGGGUGAGUAACACGUGGAUAACCUACCUAUAAGACUGGGAUAACUUCGGGAAACCGGAGCUAAUACCGGAUAAUAUUUUGAACCGCAUGGUUCAAAAGUAAAAGACGGUCUUGCUGUCACUUAUAGAUGGAUCCGCGCUGCAUUAGCUAGUUGGUAAGGUAACGGCUUACCAAGGCAACGAUGCAUAGCCGACCUGAGAGGGUGAUCGGCCACACUGGAACUGAGACACGGUCCAGACUCCUACGGGAGGCAGCAGUAGGGAAUCUUCCGCAAUGGGCGAAAGCCUGACGGAGCAACGCCGCGUGAGUGAUGAAGGUCUUCGGAUCGUAAAACUCUGUUAUUAGGGAAGAACAUAUGUGUAAGUAACUGUGCACAUCUUGACGGUACCUAAUCAGAAAGCCACGGCUAACUACGUGCCAGCAGCCGCGGUAAUACGUAGGUGGCAAGCGUUAUCCGGAAUUAUUGGGCGUAAAGCGCGCGUAGGCGGUUUUUUAAGUCUGAUGUGAAAGCCCACGGCUCAACCGUGGAGGGUCAUUGGAAACUGGAAAACUUGAGUGCAGAAGAGGAAAGUGGAAUUCCAUGUGUAGCGGUGAAAUGCGCAGAGAUAUGGAGGAACACCAGUGGCGAAGGCGACUUUCUGGUCUGUAACUGACGCUGAUGUGCGAAAGCGUGGGGAUCAAACAGGAUUAGAUACCCUGGUAGUCCACGCCGUAAACGAUGAGUGCUAAGUGUUAGGGGGUUUCCGCCCUUAGUGCUGCAGCUAACGCAUUAAGCACUCCGCCUGGGGAGUACGACCGCAAGGUUGAAACUCAAAGGAAUUGACGGGGACCCGCACAAGCGGUGGAGCAUGUGGUUUAAUUCGAAGCAACGCGAAGAACCUUACCAAAUCUUGACAUCCUUUGACAACUCUAGAGAUAGAGCCUUCCCCUUCGGGGGACAAAGUGACAGGUGGUGCAUGGUUGUCGUCAGCUCGUGUCGUGAGAUGUUGGGUUAAGUCCCGCAACGAGCGCAACCCUUAAGCUUAGUUGCCAUCAUUAAGUUGGGCACUCUAAGUUGACUGCCGGUGACAAACCGGAGGAAGGUGGGGAUGACGUCAAAUCAUCAUGCCCCUUAUGAUUUGGGCUACACACGUGCUACAAUGGACAAUACAAAGGGCAGCGAAACCGUGAGGUCAAGCAAAUCCCAUAAAGUUGUUCUCAGUUCGGAUUGUAGUCUGCAACUCGACUACAUGAAGCUGGAAUCGCUAGUAAUCGUAGAUCAGCAUGCUACGGUGAAUACGUUCCCGGGUCUUGUACACACCGCCCGUCACACCACGAGAGUUUGUAACACCCGAAGCCGGUGGAGUAACCUUUUAGGAGCUAGCCGUCGAAGGUGGGACAAAUGAUUGGGGUGAAGUCGUAACAAGGUAGCCGUAUCGGAAGGUGCGGCUGGAUCACCUCCUUUCU
rnacentral:rRNA from 1 species